rnacentral:rRNA from 1 species
UACGUAGGUGGCAAGCGUUGUCCGGAAUUAUUGGGCGUAAAGCGCGCGCAGGCGGUCCUUUAAGUCCGAUGUGAAAGCCCACGGCUCAACCGUGGAGGGUCAUUGGAAACUGGGGGACUUGAGUACAGAAGAGAAGAGUGGAAUUCCACGUGUAGCGGUGAAAUGCGUAGAGAUGUGGAGGAACACCAGUGGCGAAGGCGACUCUUUGGUCUGUAACUGACGCUGAGGCGCGAAAGCGUGGGGAGCAAACAGG